CUAAGUUGAUUGUGUUUAUGACGUCGAAUAUCGGCGACAUAAACACCAAAGUUGAUGGUGUUUAUGUCGUCGAAUAUCGACGUCAUAAACACCAAAG
rnacentral:miRNA from 1 species